UACAGAGGGUGCGAGCGUUGUCCGGAAUCACUGGGCGUAAAGGGCGCGUAGGUGGCGACCCAAGUCGAUGGUGAAAGCUCGCCGCUCAACGGCGAGUCGGCCACCGAUACUGGGUUGCUGGAGCACUGUAGAGGCAGAUGGAUUCCGGGUGUAGCGGUGGAAUGCGUAGAGAUCCGGAAGAACACCGGUGGCGAAGGCGGUCUGCUGGGCAGUUGCUGACACUGAGGCGCGACAGCGUGGGGAGCAAACAGGG
rnacentral:rRNA from 1 species